UUGUUUUGGCAACACAUAUCCUAAAAUUAGAAUGAAAUGGAGAAGAUUAACAUAGCCCCUGUGAAAGGAUGGCAUGCAAAAUUGUGAAGUGUUUCAUAUCUUG